AUUCAGACUAACGCAUGGCAAAUACUUAACAUCAUAUUUAGGAUGUAUAUUUCUGGAAUGGGCACUAUCUUUUUUUAGUGGUAGAAAAUCGAUUUAUUAGGCCAUUAAGAUGACUCAACAUCUGCUGCCAGGCCUGACGACCUGAAUUCGAUCCAUGAAACCCGCAUGGUAGGGAAGCAUCAACUCCUUAAAGUUGUGACACGUGGCAUGCGCAUGAAUACACAUAACUCACACAAAUAAUGCAAUACACUUCUAAAAAUUAAGAUAAAAAGACCCCUCUGUCUUUGCCAACCUUUUGCAGCUUCUUCCUGAUUGUUCAACACUGAAGCUGGUCUCCUGUAGGGGAUGUUGCCCCCUAGAAAGGUCCUGGGCCCUCCAACCUCCCUCCUCCUCGCUCAUCCACUUGCUGCCUGCAGCCGCUGAUGGCACUGCAGUACCUGCUGCCAGGGCUCUCCUGCCUUGCCCCGCAGGCGGGGAAUCCCUGAAGCUGGGUGGGAACCCUCCACCGAUUCCUGGCUCCUUGGCUUCUCGCCCCGCCCAGUCAGCACACCUCAGUCGAGUGUGUCCUAAGAGGGGGUCCUGGAGAGGAGAGGUCCACACCCACUCGAAGGACUGCUUGGCUGCUUUGACAGCGCGGCCAUUAAGGACCAGGGCGGGAGCACUUGCUCAGGUCUGGAUCCGCGCUCUGAGCGCAGCCAAUGGUCUAACGCAUAGCCGGUUGAUGGUUAGCGAAAGGACCAAUCCGCAAUCUCUCCACCCGGUGAACAAAGGAAUCAAAUGAUGGUCUGCUUUCGGUUUUUCAAAAAGACGCGGAUUCCAGCCGCUGGAGGGAAGGUACCCUAGCGCGAAAAGCCGCUGAGGACUGAACCAGGGCCUUGUACUUGCUAGGGCAAGAAUUCUGCCACUGAACUAAAUUCCCAACUCAACUUGAACCAUUUUGAAGUUUGUGUUUCAGCUGAGCCACGUGUUUCAUCUCAAAGUCACCAUGAGCUGUAAGAAGCGCAGAUCACAGAAGAUUCCAUUCAAUGCCAGGAAAAACACAAAAAUCAAUGACUAUUUCUCUCCGGUAUGUCUACAAAUAUUGCUUGUGGGAUAUACUAGUAGCUGUCUUAACUACCAUGGGCCACAUAGGAUUGACUGCC
rnacentral:lncRNA from 1 species